UACGUAGGGUGCAAGCGUUAAUCGGAAUUACUGGGCGUAAAGCGUGCGCAGGCGGUUUUGUAAGUCUGACGUGAAAUCCCCGGGCUCAACCUGGGAAUUGCGUUGGAGACUGCAAGGCUAGAAUCUGGCAGAGGGGGGUAGAAUUCCACGUGUAGCAGUGAAAUGCGUAGAUAUGUGGAGGAACACCGAUGGCGAAGGCAGCCCCCUGGGUCAA
rnacentral:rRNA from 1 species